rnacentral:rRNA from 1 species
AACGAACGCUGGCGGCAGGCCUAACACAUGCAAGUCGAGCGCCCCGCAAGGGGAGCGGCGGACGGGUGAGUAACGCGUGGGAAUCUACCUAGUUCUACGGAACAACACAGGGAAACUUGUGCUAAUACCGUAUACGCCCUACGGGGGAAAGAUUUAUCGGAAUUAGAUGAGCCCGCGUAAGAUGAGCUAGUUGGUGGGGUAAUGGCCUACCAAGGCGACGAUCUUUAGCUGGUCUGAGAGGAUGAUCAGCCACACUGGGACUGAGACACGGCCCAGACUCCUACGGGAGGCAGCAGUGGGGAAUAUUGGACAAUGGGCGAAAGCCUGAUCCAGCCAUGCCGCGUGAGUGAUGAAGGCCUUAGGGUUGUGAAGCUCUUUCAGUAGGGAAGAUAAUGACGGUACCUACAGAAGAAGCCCCGGCUAACUUCGUGCCAGCCGCCGCAGUAAGAC